GAGAACUCUGAGCUGCUGUCUUUGCUCAGGAACGAGUGGAGGAGAGGAAGAAGCAGCUACAGAAUCUCGAACAGGAGGUGAAUGUGUUCAGUCAACAGCAGCAGCAGAGAGAAGAUCAACUGAAGGAGCUGGACAGACAGAUACAACACAAACAGGGGCUGUGCGUUGGACUGGAGGAGGUCAAAGCUGCAGUGGGCCAGUUAGAAGAUAGGGGGCGCCACCUCAACCAGCUCGAGGAGGAGCUAUGCGAGAAGGAGAAGCGACUAAGUAACAAGGAGGAGGAGCUACGACGAGAGAAGGAGCUACAGCGUAAAGAGGAGGGUCUUGUUCAGAUGGAGGAGGGGCUUCAUGGGAAAGAAGAGGAUUACAGCAGGGAGGAGGAGGAGGAGACUUUCUACCUGUCUACAUCUGGACUGAGAUCAGACCUCAGCACUGAG